rnacentral:rRNA from 1 species
GGGUGCGAUCAUACCAGCACUAAUGCACCGGAUCCCAUCAGAACUCCGCAGUUAAGCGUGCUUGGGCGAGAGUAGUACUAGGAUGGGUGACCUCCUGAUGUACCAUGUACUUAUAGUGA